rnacentral:lncRNA from 1 species
AAUGAUUCAUCAUGAAGGAACAAAAAACCUUAAGAGCCAUAAAAUUAACGAGGUUCCUCUGACACUAAUUUCUAUUCACUUUAGGUUGGUUCUAAAGCCCUUUGACAGAAGAUGAGCAUAAAUAAUUUGAUUCCAAGUGUCUGGUAUUCCAGGUAAGCACCAAUGGCUGCAAUCCUGUGGUGCAUCAACUGGAGUGCCUGGUUCACGAUGGAAGGAAGGGUGACCAUCGUUCCUCAACUCUGUCAGAUAUGUGAUAUUUAGGAAGUAUGCCUUUCUCCUUUUGUUUUCUAUCUGUUUGAUUACAUUGGAAACAAACAGAUUAUUUGAUGUCUCAGGUUCCAGUUUUGAGUAGUUUGUUUCCGGUGAGGUAUUACUAUCACAAUGACCUCCUUCAUUCCAUGUUCCAUCCCUGCACAAAAAAAAAAAAAACUUUGUUUAAGCAGAAUCAUCCAUCUUUAAAGUCUGUGCCGCUGAACUCAGCAUGCAGUGUUUAAUUUACAGACAUGAUGUUAUGUUAUUCUUGGUGGAGGCAAGCAAUGGUAUUAACACUGGG